GAUGAACGCUGGCGGCGUGCCUAAUACAUGCCAGUCGAGCGAACAGAUGAGGAGCUUGCUCCUCUGACGUUAGCGGCGGACGGGUGAGUAACACGUGGAUAACCUACCUAUAAGACUGGGAUAACUUCGGGAAACCGGAGCUAAUACCGGAUAAUAUAUUGAACCGCAUGGUUCAAUAGUGAAAGACGGUUUUGCUGUCACUUAUAGAUGGAUCCGCGCCGCAUUAGCUAGUUGGUAAGGUAACGGCUUACCAAGGCAACGAUGCGUAGCCGACCUGAGAGGGGAGUGGCCACAACUGAAACUGAAACGCGUCCGGGCGUACGCAGGGAGGCAGAGUGAAGAACUAUUCACCAAUGGGCAAAAGCUGGCGGGAGCAACGCAGGGAAGAUAAGAAGGGUUUCAGAUUCGAAAACCUAUUUUAUAGGGGAGGAAAAAAUGUAUAUUAAACACUCCCCCUUUAGACCUUACCUAAUAGGAAAACCACGCCCAACGAGGAG
rnacentral:rRNA from 1 species